rnacentral:rRNA from 1 species
CAAAGGAGCAAUCCGCUGAAAGAUGGGCUCGCGUCCGAUUAGGUAGUUGGCGGGGCAACGGCCCACCAAGCCGACGAUCGGUAGCCGGACUGAGAGGUUGAACGGCCACAUUGGGACUGAGACACGGCCCAGACUCCUACGGGAGGCAGCAGUGAGGGAUAUUGGUCAAUGGGGGAAACCCUGAACCAGCAACGCCGCGUGAGGGAAGACGGUUUUCGGAUUGUAAACCUCUGUCCUCUGUGAAGAUGAUGACGGUAGCAGAGGAGGAAGCUCCGGCUAACUACGUGCCAGCAGCCGCGGUAAUACGUAGGGAGCAAGCGUUGUCCGGAUUUACUGGGUGUAAAGGGUGCGUAGGCGGCUUUGCAAGUCAGAAGUGAAAUCCAUGGGCUUAACCCAUGAACUGCUUUUGAAACUGCAGAGCUUGAGUGGAGUGGAGGUAGGCGGAAUUCCCGGUGUAGCGGUGAAAUGCGUAGAGAUCGGGAGGAACACCAGUGGCGAAGGCGGCCUGCUGGGCUCUAACUGACGCUGAGGCACGAAAGCGUGGGUAGCAAACAGGAUUAGAUACCCUGGUAGUACACGCUGUAAACGAUGAUUACUAGGUGUGGGUGGACUGACCCCAUCC